UUCUGAUCUGCAUCAGCCCACCCACAACUGCAAUUCUUACAAGCUUUCCUUGUCCUUCCAACUCCACAAUCACCAACUGCACAGUAAUGAAUUGUUAAAGAUCCAUAAAAGCUUCCAAAGAUCAUAAUUAGAGAGAGAGAGAGAGAGAGAGAGAG